UACGGAAGAUGCGAGCGUUAUCCGGAUUUAUUGGGUUUAAAGGGAGCGUAGGCGGGCUUUUAAGCCAGCUGUGAAAGUUUGCGGCUCAACCGUAAAAUUGCAGUUGGAACUGGGAGUCUUGAGUGUGCAUAAGGUGGAUGGAAUUCGUGGUGUAGCGGUGAAAUGCUUAGAUAUCACGAAGAACUCCGAUUGCGAAGGCAGUCCACUGGGGCACUACUGACGCUGAGGCUCGAAAGUGCGGGUAUCAAACAGG
rnacentral:rRNA from 1 species